rnacentral:miRNA from 1 species
AACAAUCCCUGCCGAAGUCCU